rnacentral:misc_RNA from 1 species
GUUCCAUUCCAUUCCAUUCCAUUCGAUUCCAUUCCAUUAAAAUCAAUUCCUUUCGACACCCAACCUUUCCAAUCAAUAAUUUUAAAUUCCAUUUUUUUACAUUCCAUUACAUUCUAUAACAUUCGAUUCCGUUUCAUUACAUUCCAUUCCAUACAUUUUUAUUCCAUUCGAAACCGUAACAUUCCACUUUAUUCCAAACCUAUCCAUUACACUACAUUCCCUUCCAUUCCAAUAAAUUCCAUUCCAUUCCAAUCCAUUCCUUUCCUUUCGCUUACAUUCCAUUCUAUUCUCUUCUACUACAUACAAUUUCACUCCAUUCGUUCCCAUUCCAUUCAAUUCCAUUCCAUUCAAUUCCAUUCCAUUCAAUU